rnacentral:rRNA from 1 species
UACGGGGGGGGCAAGCGUUGUUCGGAAUUACUGGGCGUAAAGGGCUCGUAGGCGGCCAACUAAGUCGGAUGUGAAAUCCCCAGGCUUAACCUGGGAACUGCGUCUGAUACUGGAUGGCUUGAGUUUGGGAGAGGGACGCGGAAUUCCAGGUGUAGCGGUGAAAUGCGUAGAUAUCUGGAGGAACACCGGUGGCGAAGGCGGCGUCCUGGACCAACACUGACACUGAGGAGCGAAAGCCAGGGGAGCAAACGGG